ACUCCUACGGGAGGCAGCAGUGGGGAAUAUUGCACGAAAUCGGGGGAACCUGAUGCAGCCAUGCCGCGUGUGUGAAGAAGGCCUUCGGGUUGUAAAGCACUUUCAGUAGGGAGGAAGGUAGUGUAGUUAACACCUGCAUUAUUUGACGUUAGCUGCAGAAGAAGCACCGGCUAACUCCGUGCCAGCAGCCGCGGUAAUACGGAGGGUGCGAGCGUUAAUCGGAAUUACUGGGCGUAAAGCGCAUGCAGGUGGUUUGUUAAGUCAGAUGUGAAAGCCCGGGGCUCAACCUCGGAAUAGCAUUUGAAACUGGCAGACUAGAGUACUGGUAGAGGGGGUAGAAUUUCAGGU
rnacentral:rRNA from 1 species